rnacentral:rRNA from 1 species
AUUAGAGUUUGAUCCUGGCUCAGAACGAACGCUGGCGGCAGGCUUAACACAUGCAAGUCGGACGCCCCGCAAGGGGAGUGGCAGACGGGUGAGUAACGCGUGGGAAUCUACCCAACUCUACGGAAUAACUCAGGGAAACUUGUGCUAAUACCGUAUACGCCCUUCGGGGGAAAGAUUUAUCGGAGAUGGAUGAGCCCGCGUUGGAUUAGCUAGUUGGUGGGGUAAUGGCCUACCAAGGCGACGAUCCAUAGCUGGUCUGAGAGGAUGAUCAGCCACACUGGGACUGAGACACGGCCCAGACUCCUACGGGAGGCAGCAGUGGGGAAUAUUGGACAAUGGGCGAAAGCCUGAUCCAGCCAUGCCGCGUGAGUAAUGAAGGCCCUAGGGUUGUAAAGCUCUUUCGUCUGCAAGGAUAAUGACAGUAGCAGAAGAAGAAGCUCCGGCUAAAUUCGUGCCAGCAGCCGCGGUAAUAAUC